GAUGAACGCUGGCGGCGUGCCUAACACAUGCAAGUCGAACGGAGAUUACGGACGGAAGUUUUCGGAUGGAAGCCUGUAAUUCUUAGUGGCGGACGGGUGAGUAACGCGUGGGCAACCCGCCCUAUACAGGGGGAUAGCAUCUGGAAACGGCUGUUAAGACCGCAUAAGUCGGUUAAAUCGCAUGAUUUGAUCGGGAAAUGAGCAAUCAGGUAUAGUAUGUGCCCGCGUCCGAUUAGCCAGUUGGCAGGGUAAAAGCCUACCAAAGCGACGAUCGGUAGCCGGAGUGAGAGGUAGGACGGAGACAUUGGGACUGAGACACGGCCCAAACUCCUACGGGAGGCAGCAGUGGGGGAUAUUGCAAAAUGGAGGAAACUAUGAUGCAGCGACGCCGGGUGAGUGAAGAAGUAUUUCGGUAUGUAAAGCUCUAUAAGCAGGGAAGAUGAUGACGGUACCUGAAGAAGAAGCCCCGGCUAACUACGUG
rnacentral:rRNA from 1 species